rnacentral:rRNA from 1 species
GACGAACGCUGGCGGCGUGCUUUACACAUGCAAGUCGAGCGGUAAGGCCCCUUCGGGGGUACACGAGCGGCGAACGGGUGAGUAACACGUGGGCAAUCUACCUUUGACACUGGGAUAACUUCCGGAAACGGAAGCUAAUACCGGAUACCCAGCUCCAUCCGCAUGGACGGAUCUGGAAAGCUCCGACGGUCAAAGAUGAGCCCGCGGCCUAUCAGCUUGUUGGUGGGGUAAUGGCCUACCAAGGCGACGACGGGUAGCCGGCCUGAGAGGGCGACCGGCCACACUGGGACUGAGACACGGCCCAGACUCCUACGGGAGGCAGCAGUGGGGAAUCUUGCCCAAUGGGCGAAAGCCUGAGGCAGCGACGCCGCGUGAGGGAUGAAGGCCUUCGGGUUGUAACCU